rnacentral:rRNA from 1 species
AACGAACGCUGGCGGCAUGCCUAACACAUGCAAGUCGAACGCUAUUUAUAGAGUGGCGCACCGGGUGAGUAACGCGUGGGAACCUGCCUUUCUCUGCGGGACAACGGUUGGAAACGACCGCUAAUACCGCAUACGCCCUACGGGGGAAAGGUCAGCCGGAGAAAGAGGGGCCCGCGUUUGAUUAGCUAGUUGGUGGGGUAAUGGCCUACCAAGGCGACGAUCAAUAGCUGGUCUGAGAGGAUGAUCAGCCACACUGGGACUGAGACACGGCCCAGACUCCUACGGGAGGCAGCAGUGGGGAAUAUUGGACAAUGGGGGCAACCCUGAUCCAGCAAUGCCGCGUGUGUGAUGAAGGCCUUAGGGUUGUAAAGCACUUUCACUGGUGAAGAUGAUGACGGUAACCAGAGAAGAAGCCCCGGCUAACUUCGUG